UACGUAGGGUGCGAGCGUUGUCCGGAAUUACUGGGCGUAAAGGGCGCGUAGGCGGGAUGGCAAGUCGGUCGUGAAAUCCUUCGGCUCAACCGAAGAACGUCGAUCGAUACUGCUGUUCUUGAGGGUUGCAGAGGAGGCUGGAAUUCCCGGUGUAGCGGUGAAAUGUGUAGAGAUCGGGAGGAACACCGGUGGCGAAGGCGGGUCUCUGGGCAAUUCCUGACGCUGAGGCGCGAAAGCGUGGGGAGCAAACGGG
rnacentral:rRNA from 1 species